UACGUAGGUGGCAAGCGUUGUCCGGAAUUAUUGGGCGUAAAGCGCGUGUAGGCGGCCCGGUAAGUCCGCUGUGAAAGUCGGGGGCUCAACCCUCGAAUGCCGGUGGAUACUGUCGGGCUAGAGUGCGGGAGAGGCGAGUGGAAUUCCUGGUGUAGCGGUGAAAUGCGCAGAUAUCAGGAGGAACACCGGCGGUGUAGACGGCUUUCUGGACCGUAGCUGACGCUGAGACACGAAAGCGUGGGUAGCAAACAGG
rnacentral:rRNA from 1 species